UUGUUAUAUAUUCCAAACUAUCAUCCAUAUGUCUAUUUCUUAACCUUCAAAUUCAUCAUUUGCUUCCUCUGACAUGCAGAAUCUCCAGAUUGACACUUCUGGUGAGCCGUGGGGGACAUUCACUUCUGUCAAACAGACUCUUUUCUGACAAUUCAGCACUAGUGGGCAUGUCCAAUCUUGAGGAUUCACGGAAGGACAACGCUAGCACAGGGCAAGAAGAACCAAAUGCAGCUUGCUCAAAGCAGGAUGACCUCAGAGUUGUAUUGAAGAAACGGACUGUCUGAUGUGGGGAAGUAAGAAAGGCACGCAGAAAAAGAGGGUUGACAUCCUGGCUACAAAUGAACUCAAAACGGCAGACGUCAAGACAUAACUGAUAUGGCACAACUGUGCAUAUAUGUCAGAUUUUCUGCCAGAUAUGUGACA